rnacentral:rRNA from 1 species
UACGUAGGGUGCAAGCGUUAAUCGGAAUUACUGGGCGUAAAGCGUGCGCAGGCGGUUUUGUAAGUCUGUCGUGAAAUCCCCGGGCUCAACCUGGGAAUUGCGAUGGAGACUGCAAGGCUAGAAUCUGGCAGAGGGGGGUAGAAUUCCACGUGUAGCAGUGAAAUGCGUAGAGAUGUGGAGGAACACCGAUGGCGAAGGCAGCCCCCUGGGUCAAGAUUGACGCUCA